rnacentral:rRNA from 1 species
UGGGGAAUUUUGCACAAUGGGGGAAACCCUGAUGCAGCGACGCCGCGUGAUUUAGAAGGCCUUCGGGUUGUAAAAAUCUUUUCUAUGGGAAGAAAAUGACAGUACCAUAGGAAUAAGGACCGGCUAAUUACGUGCCAGCAGCCGCGGUAAUACGUAAGGUCCGAGCGUUGUCCGGAAUCAUUGGGCGUAAAGGGUACGUAGGCGGGUAAGCAAGUUAGAAGUGAAGUCCUAUAGCUCAACUAUAGUAAGCUUUUAAAACUGCUCAUCUUGAGGUAUGGAAGGGAAAGUGGAAUUCCUAGUGUAGCGGUGAAAUGCGCAGAUAUUAGGAGGAAUACCGGUGGCGAAGGCGACUUUCUGGCCAUAACCUGACGCUGAGGUACGAAAGCGUGGGUAGCAAACAGG